UGGGGAAUAUUGGACAAUGGGCGAAAGCCUGAUCCAGCCAUGCCGCGUGAGUGAUGACGGCCCUAGGGUUGUAAAGCUCUUUCAGUGGGGAAGAUAAUGACGGUACCCACAGAAGAAGCCCCGGCUAACUUCGUGCCAGCAGCCGCGGUAAUACGAAGGGGGCUAGCGUUGUUCGGAAUUACUGGGCGUAAAGCGCGCGUAGGCGGAUUGUUAAGUGAGGGGUGAAAUCCCAGGGCUCAACCCUGGAACUGCCUUUCAUACUGGCAAUCUUGAGUUCGAGAGAGGUGAGUGGAAUUCCGAGUGUAGAGGUGAAAUUCGUAGAUAUUCGGAGGAACACCAGUGGCGAAGGCGGCUCACUGGCUCGAAACUGACGCUGAGGUGCGAAAGCGUGGGGAGCAAACAGGAUUAGAUACCCCGGUAGUCC
rnacentral:rRNA from 1 species